GGCAUUAAAGAGUUUUAUUAAACUUAAGCUUAGAUCAUUUUGGGGGUUUAGCUCAGUUGGCUAGAGCAUCGGCUUUGCAAGCCGAGGGUCAAGGGUUCGAGUCCCUUAACCUCCAUUGGGCAUGUGUCUUGAAUUGUGAUUCAUUAUGCUUUCAAGUACUUUUAUUAAAGUAGUUAUUGGAAUGUAAAACAGAGUAAUUUAAGAUUUCUGGGUUAAAGUUGGGAUCUGCCUGUUGAUAUUAAUAAGAAUGCUUAGAAGCGAAGGCAAACUUUUGAUAACAAGCGGAUUUGUUGCUCUAUAGUACAAGGAUUGAGCAGUAUUAUAUUUUCCAACAGCCUAUUCUAUAAACGAACUACAUUUAUUACCAGCUUUUAGUUAAGAAUUGAUGUGGAUUUCCAGUUGUGGUGUUUGGGGGGGUAAGCAUUGUAGCGAGCCGUCACCCUUGUUAUCUUUACCAGUAUGUAAGGAUAUUCUGGACAAGACUGUUAAUUAUAAGUUGGAGGAAAGCCAAGUUUGGGCUAAAUCAGCAUGUUUCUUGUGCCCUAGAUUAUAAGCUUUUGCCGCAAUAGUCUAAAAAAGCCAAUUAAAAUACCAUAAAUCAGAUUUC
rnacentral:tRNA from 1 species